rnacentral:lncRNA from 1 species
GGUGUAUGAAAAUCAGAUUUUCAUGUUCUUCUUGAACCUAAGAAGAAGGCUCUUAAAUAGAAUCCAUUCAUAAGUUCAAAUUCAAAUCCAAUCGGAGUUUAAAAAGAUGGAUAUUAUCAUAUAAUAACUUUUCUUUUUAUUCUGAUUUUCUUCUCAAGAUAAACCAGCCCAAAUGCAAUGUGAUCACCCUAAAGAAGGAAAGAAAAGUGAG